UCGAAUUGCUGUUUUAAAUUCGAGUUUUGUAUUCGAACAUGCAAAUUGAGGUAUCAUUGGACCCCAACCUGCACUGCACUCUCUCUUCAAAGCAGAAAAGGCUUUUGCUGUUUUGCAGUUUCUUUCUUACGCCUACAGUUAACCGCACGAACCUUUCUGCAAAACAAAGUAUCGUACUUUCAAGCAAAACCUUAAUCAUCAAAUGGAACAGAUUUUUCCCUGAUUCCCUCUCCAUGACGACGGGAAUCGACGAACUUUUUAUACUCACACGCCAUUGAUUCUUGUCUGUGUCAUCUGCAUUCGCUUUGUCCAGGGCAGUUCAGUGGACCUGCACUUGUGGAGGAGGUUCAGGGUCAGCAUGCUAUAUUGAGAGACUGUAUUGAGCAGCUAACAGCUGUUGCAUCAUCAAGAGCUAGUCUUGUCUCACAUUUGAGAGAGGCUCUUCAGGAGCAGGAAUUCAAGCCGGAGGCAAUUCAUACACAAGCUUCAGGUUUGUCACUAGACUUAUAUUUUAGGUAUACUUUUGACAUUAUGAACUAUAAACUUAGAUAUCUCAGCGUAAAUACAG